rnacentral:rRNA from 1 species
CUGGCGGCGUGCCUAACACAUGCAAGUCGAGCGAGGAGAUCCUUCGGGAUGAUCCUAGCGGCGGACGGGUGAGUAACACGUGGGCAACCUGCCUCAUAGAGAGGAAUAGCCUUCCGAAAGGGAGAUUAAUACCUCAUAACAUUGCAGUUUCGCAUGGAACAGCAAUUAAAGGAGUAAUCCGCUAUGAGAUGGGGCCCGCGGCGCAUUAGCUAGUUGGUGAGGUAACGGCUCACCAAGGCGACGAUGCGUAGCCGACCUGAGAGGGUGAUCGGCCACAUUGGGACUGAGACACGGCCCAGACUCCUACGGGAGGCAGCAGUGGGGAAUAUUGCACAAUGGGGGAAACCCUGAUGCAAGCAACGCCGCGUGAGUGAUGACGGCCUUCGGGUUGUAAAGCUCUGUCUUCAGGGACGAUAAUGACGGUACCUGAGGAGGAAGCCACGGCUAACUACGUGCCAGCCGCUGC